UGAGCCCAGGAAGGUGAUAGACAGGAUGAC
rnacentral:piRNA from 1 species